GGCGAGUGGCGAACGGGUGAGUAAUAUAUCGGAACGUACCCUGGAGUGGGGGAUAACGUAGCGAAAGUUACGCUAAUACCGCAUACGAUCUAAGGAUGAAAGUGGGGGAUUCGCAAGAACCUCAUGCUCCUGGAGCGGCCGAUAUCUGAUUAGCUAGUUGGUAGGGUAAAAGCCUACCAAGGCAUCGAUCAGUAGCUGGUCUGAGAGGACGACCAGCCACACUGGAACUGAGACACGGUCCAGACUCCUACGGGAGGCAGCAGUGGGGAAUUUUGGACAAUGGGCGCAAGCCUGAUCCAGCAAUGCCGCGUGAGUGAAGAAGGCCUUCGGGUUGUAAAGCUCUUUUGUCAGGGAAGAAACGGUGUUUUCUAAUACAGAGAGCUAAUGACGGUACCUGAAGAAAUAAGCACCGGGCUAAACUACGUGCCAGCAGCCGCGGUAAUACGUAGGGUGCAAGCGUUAAUCGGAAUUACUGGGCGUAAAGCGUGCGCAGGCGGUUUUGUAAGACUGUCGUGAAAUCCCCGGGCUCAACCUGGGAAUGGCGAUGGUGACUGCAAGGCUAGAGUUUGGCAGAGGGGGGUAGAAUUCCACGUGUAGCAGUGAAAUGCGUAGAUAUGUGGAGGAACACCGAUGGCGAAGGCAGCCCCCUGGGUCAAAACUGACGCUCAUGCACGAAAGCGUGGGGAGCAAACAGGAUUAGAUACCCUGGUAGUCCACGCCCUAAACGAUGUCUACUAGUUGUCGGGUUUUAAUUAACUUGGUAACGCAGCUAACGCGUGAAGUAGACCGCCUGGGGAGUACGGUCGCAAGAUUAAAACUCAAAGGAAUUGACGGGGACCCGCACAAGCGGUGGAUGAUGUGGAUUAAUUCGAUGCAACGCGAAAAACCUUACCUACCCUUGACAUGGCAGAAAAUCCCCCGAGAGAUUGGGAGGAGUGCUCGAAAGGAGAAAUCUGCACACAGGUGCCUGCAUGGCUGUCGUCAGCUCGUGUCGUGGAGAUGUUUGGGGUUAAGUCCCGCAACGAGCGCAACCCUUGUCAUUAGUUGCUACGAAAGAGCACUCUAAUGAGACUGCCGGUGACAAACCGGAGGAAGGUGGGGAUGACGUCAAGUCCUCAUGGCCCUUAUGGGUAGGGCUUCACACGUCAUACAAUGGUACAUACAGAGGGCCGCCAACCCGCGAGGGGGAGCUAAUCCCAGAAAGUGUAUCGUAGUCCGGAUUGUAGUCUGCAACUCGACUGCAUGAAGUUGGAAUCGCUAGUAAUCGCGGAUCAGCAUGUCGCGGUGAAUACGUUCCCGGGUCUUGUACACACCGCCCGUCACACCAUGGGAGCGGGUUUUACCAGAAGUAGGUAGCUUAACCGCAAGGAGGGCGCUUAGUCACGGUAGGAUUCG
rnacentral:rRNA from 1 species